AGCGAACGCUGGCGGUAGGCCUAACACAUGCAAGUCGAACGGCAGCACAGUAAGAGCUUGCUCUUACGGGUGGCGAGUGGCGGACGGGUGAGGAAUACAUCGGAAUCUACUUUUUCGUGGGGGAUAACGUAGGGAAACUUACGCUAAUACAGCAUACGACCUACGGGUGAAAGCAGGGGAUCUUCGGACCUUGCGCGAAUGAAUGAGCCGAUGUCGGAUUAGCUAGUUGGCGGGGUAAAGGCCCACCAAGGCGACGAUCCGUAGCUGGUCUGAGAGGAUGAUCAGCCACACUGGAACUGAGACACGGUCCAGACUCCUACGGGAGGCAGCAGUGGGGAAUAUUGGACAAUGGGCGCAAGCCUGAUCCAGCCAUACCGCGUGGGUGAAGAAGGCCUUCGGGUUGUAAAGCCCUUUUGUUGGGAAAGAAAAGCAGCAGGUUAAUACCCCGCUGUUCUGACGGUACCCAAAGAAUAAGCACCGGCUAACUUCGUG
rnacentral:rRNA from 1 species